CGCCUUGGAGGGGCUGGGAAGGCCAGCGUGUUGGGGGAGGCGCCUGGGCCUCUGGGACUGGGCCUGGCUGCGUCAAGGUGGGGCUGACAUGAAGUCCCCUUCAUCUGUCCGGGGUGGCCCGUCCUUCUGGGAGAGGAUCCCUCACAAGAUGACUUCCCAGGUCGCGCUCCGAGGCGGCUCUUUGCGGACCCCACAGAGAUGCCUUCUGGGCUCCUGGGGCCAGCGGGGAGGGGCAGACUACAUGACAAUUCUAAAAUUCCAGUUCUAUGAUUCAUAAUGGCCAAAAGGUGGAAACAACCCGAAUGUUCAUCAGCUGAAGAAUGGAUACAUGAAAUGUGGUCAAUUCAUGCAAUGGAAUAGUAUUCAGCAGCGAAAAGGAAUGAAGCACUGGUACAUGCUACAACAUGAAUGACUCAUAAAAACACUAUGCUGAGUGAAAGAAGCCAAUCAGAAAAGACCACGUGCUGUAUGACUCCAUUCAUAUUAUGUUCAUAACAAGGAAAUCUAUUGAGAAAGUAAAUUAGUGGUUACUUAGAGCUGGGAAGGAUGUGGGAAUAGAAAGGUGAUAGUGAAAGGGCAUGGGGUUUUAUAGGUGAUGAAAUAGUUCUAAAAUUGUGGCUAUGGUCGCACAGAUCUGUGAACAUACUAAACACCAUUGAAAUGUACAAUUUCAAUGGAUGAAUUGUAUGGUAUGUGAAUUAUAUAUAAAUAAAGCUAUUAAAAAAUGAUUCCCAAGUCAAAGACCCAAUUCAGCCAGUUACAAAGUUAAGGCAGAGAGACAACUAUUUUAGUUCACACCCUAAAAAAUAAAUGGGAGGGAACACCACUCCUGAGGAAGAGUCAACUGCAAAGUAAACAGGGCUCCCAGGGCUAUUCCAGCCCUGUGUAAGCCAACGGGGUAUUAGGCAGCAAGACCACCCAUAAAGCCAACUCAGGGUCACCCAACUCCAUUUAUCAGUGACCUGGGACACAAGCCCAUUACUGCCUCACUUGCUCUCCAUCUCUGACGUGUUCUGGCUCUGCCACAGUGCAUGGCUCUGACUCUUACUGCAUUCGGAAACUGAAUGUCUCUGACCAGGUCAGCCAGUGGGUUCCUAGGAGGUGCUGUCUCUGAAGGGCUGUUGAAAUGAUAUGGGAAGGCUGAGGCAGGAGAAAGUGGCAGGAAAGAGUGUUUUGUGUGCCAUCUGUGUGAUCCAGAUUUCUUGUUGCUUUUGCUCUAGUUUCUUGGGUCAGUGAGGGAAAAGUCACGUUUCUCACUUUCUUUUACAAUGCCUGGGUUUCUCUCUUUGUGAAAUGAGGUCUAUGGAGCCCACAGAUUACUGUUCCCUCUUCAGGCCUAUUUGUCUUAAAGUUAAUGGAAAUUUCUCUGAGAUCUUUAUGAUACCACAGGCAUUUUAGAGGAAAACAUAAAAAGGAGAUAUCAGAGCGUGCUGCCUGAUGCUUUUCCAUUACAUUUCUUUUUUUUUUUUUUCUCUCUUUUUGAGACAGUCUUGCUCUGUCACCAGGCUGGAGUGCAGUGGCACCAUCUCGGCUCACUGCAACCUCUGUGUCCUGGGAUCAAGCGAUUAUCCUGCCUCAGCCUCCCGAGUAGCUGGAACUACAGGUGGGUGCCACCAUGCCCAGCUAACUUUUGUAUUUUUUUAGUAGAGACGGAG
rnacentral:lncRNA from 10 species